GAGAAUCCAUCAAUCAAUAUGGCAGGUCAGAAGAGAGAAUCUAGCUCUAGUUAGUGUUUGGGUUUCUGGAGAGCCAUAAAAACGAAGUGAUGUUGCAUUUGUCUAGGCCAACUAAAUUGUAAUUCCCAAUCAGACCCAUUGUCGACGAAGAUCAAUCGUAAACCUAAAGCGCAGAGUGGCACUGGCAGAGGAAGGGUGUAGAAAUUGUGGAAUAGAGUCAGAGAGAUAUGUUACAAUUCCCGGCGUUCAUGAGAUGAGGCAGUACACAUCGUCGAAGAGGACAACACCUUCGCCGCCCAACGUCACAGUGAAGGUUUCCUUCCCGCCUUGGAAGAAUCCGAAUUCGAAGACGGGCUUCAGCUGCAAUUUUGCCAAACUUUUGACAUAUGUAAGCUGUUACUUGGGUGUACUUUAAUGGAUAGGAAGAAGAAAUGCUAAAGACAAAUUUGAGAGAUUAGAUUAUUUAAAAGAAAAAAGAAAGAAGAAUAGCCGUGGAAGAGAGGGCUCUUGUCGUUAAGCUAAUUGUUCGUUUUAAUCUCUGGAGAUAUUGUCCACUGGCGGAGCCAACCUUCCCCGGAAUAAACGUAGGAAAUUUAUGGAACUUGCCACCAUUUACACUGAUUACUCUGGUCAAAGGAUGAAAGAAAUUUCCUUCUGGGAAGGACUGGUCAAUUUCCGCUAGCUAAUACAUUUCUGAGCCACAAGCUUUAAUUUUGACAAUUCAUUUUGAAGACUCCAUCGUGUUAGGGCUCUUGACCCUUCCCUUCCAGCCCUUCUCCUGUUGGUCGAUAAAAAUAUUAGUGCCUCAUCGCUUCCAACACCUAAUGCUUGGAGUAUAAUUAAAUUUUCGAAAUUUAACAAAUUAUUUCUCUUUAUUUAGAAGGAGACUCUGUUGUUAUUUGCAGCCAACAAGCAAACUUGCCAGUGUUCAGCAAAUAGUGAUGCUUGUCUCUUGUAUAAUAGUUUUUUUUUAUUUUCUGUUUAAGUUAAGAUUGUUGUUUUUC